GCCACAUAGAGUAGAGGUUACUGCAGUACCCAAAAUUCAAAAUAAGACAAAGAAACGUUUCGGAUUUCCCCUUUGAAACUGUCAAAAUGUCCUUAAAAUGUACCUUUAGUAUCUAGUUGCGCUUUCUUGAUUUCUUUAAUUUCUUCAUUAGUGUGUCAUGAAAAUAAGCAUUUUUAAUGUUUUAAUGCAAGCAUCUAUGUUUCAAAGCUCCUUCCUAGGUUAUCACCAAACCGUUUUUAAUUCAUAAUGAAUUAAAGCCACUCUUCAAAAAUAGAAUUCUCCAUCACUUCUAAUCCGUCACACACGGCAUAUGCUUUCCUUACUUGUUACGCAUGGUAUUGUACAAAAUAGAAGCCUGGGCAGACAGGAGAGCACUAGUCUCCUGUACCCUUUUGCUAUCUAUACAUUCGCUCAAGCUUUGUUCCACAGGAUUUCCUUAAACUUACUGGUGGUGUCGGGCUCUCUGCCAGCACCUCUAAGUUGCAUUAAAAAGUGGUGUACAUAGUAUAAAGAAUAAUGCUUGGUAAUAUGCCCAUUUGUUGGUUUUAGCUGUUGCCUCCCCAGCUAGCAGCCUUGCUUGUAACAAGCCUCUUACUACCGAAGCUGCUUUUCUUCUAUUUUUAUUUAUUUAUCCAGAUAUAAU